ensembl:lncRNA
GGACUUCCAGGAACUCUUCCUGAAGGCAGUGGAGAUCUGCUGUGUCCAGCCAUCUGUCCUCCAGGUCCUCCUGGACCCCCGGGAAUGCCUGGAUUCAAGGGUCAUACAGGUCAUAAAGGAAGUAAGGGAGAGGUGGGGAAAGACGGAGAGAAGGGUGAUCAGGGCCCGCCGGGGCCAUCGGGAAUCCCAGGGACAGUGGGUUUACAGGGUUCUCGAGGGCUGAGAGGACUGCAGGGGCCAGUGGGAGCAGUAGGAGACAGAGGAUUGCCUGGCUUCAGAGGAAAACCUGGAAUUGCUGGCAUCAUUGGAAAAACUGGUGAUGCUGGUGAGAAAGGACCGCAAGGUUUCAAAGGGCCCAAAGGAGAGAUAGGGAAAAUAGGCCCAAAGGGACUCCCUGGAGGUGCAGGACCUAAAGGCGAACCGGGCAUCCCAGGCAGGGACGGGAAGGAUGGCACUCAAGGGCUGGACGGUGAAAAGGGAGAUGCUGGGAGACCUGGAGUACCUGGUGAGAAAGGACCUAACGGCCUGCCUGGUUUGCCGGGAAAAGCUGGUGCCAAAGGUGCCAAAGGAGGAGUUGGCAGUCCAGGAAAGAUGGGAGAAGCAGGACCGUCUGGAGAGCCAGGUAUACCUGGUGAGAUUGGCAUCCCUGGAGAGAGAGGAGAGGCUGGACCCAGAGGUGUGGCUGGUGGCAUUGGACUAGCUGGAAACCCUGGACCACAAGGUGUUAAAGGAUUCCAGGGUAUUAAAGGAGCUUUAGGUGAUCCAGGUCUGCCUGGUCCUACUGGAAUCAGAGGUGGCUUUGGUGAGCGGGGUCCAGUUGGAGCUGGAGGGCCUAAAGGAGACAUGGGAGUUGCUGGAAGUGAUGGUUUACCGGGGGAGAACGGGGAGCCCGGUCCUUAUGGUCCCGUUGGACAGAAAGGAGAGUCCGGUAAGCGUGGUGAGCUGGGAGCCAAAGGAGUUGUAGGACCACAGGGAGAGACUGGAGCCAGGGGGGCACCUGGAAAACCAGGACCAAUGGGAUUUCAAGGAGAACAAGGUUUUCCAGGAGUUGCUGGAAAGACUGGUGUUCCUGGCAAACUGGCUAGUGAGCAGCACAUCAGAGAACUGUGUAGCUCCAUGAUUGAUGAUCAGAUAGCUCAGCUCGCUGCUAACCUGAGAAGACCUCUGGCUCCUGGUGCUGUGGGACGGCCUGGACCACCGGGGCCUCCAGGAAAGCCAGGAGAAGUUGGAUCCAUUGGUCACCCUGGAGCCCUUGGCCCGCCAGGUUAUAGAGGACUGCCAGGAGAUCUCGGUGAUCCUGGUCCUCGAGGAGAUGUCGGUGAGCCAGGUGAUAAGGGGCCUGUAGGUAAAGCGAUCGAAGGGCCCACUGGAGACCAGGGUGACCCGGGUCUGCCAGGCGUGCAUGGCAUUGUCAAAGAUGGCCGUGACGGAGCACCUGGAGAUCCAGGAGAAGCAGGAGAAGCAGGAAGAGCCGGCAGACCGGGACACCAGGGAUCACCCGGAAUCUGUGACACAUCAGCGUGUCAAGGAGCCGCGGUUCACGGGAAGUCAUCCAACCCCAAGAACCAUUAACAGGAGAAACUACAGAACUCCCUUUCAGGAACGCUUCUGGAGGAGAAACAGAACUGAAGAAGUGUCAGUGGAUGUCAAACCAGCAUUUUCAGAGCCGAAGGAACAUUGAGCAUCAGAGAGGAACGUUCAUGAUUUCCUCUGUGUAACUCAAGAGGCUUGAAGUACCAACAUGUGUAGAUACAACAAAAGACUAAAUACAUCACACCGUGAAACUAGUUGAUGUGAAAAAUAAUUCAGUCAUUGUAUUAGAAGUCUUCUUGUACAGCACCCUUUAAAAGUGUAAUGGAGUACAACUUUGAGCUUCAUGAGGGGUUUUACAGUACCUCAAAACCUGACCUCAACAACAGCAAAAAAACAAACAAGCAAACUAGAGGCUUGUUUGAGGCAUCAAGAAAUGAAACCAAAAUAUUGGAUAUAUUUCUGCAAAUUGAUUUUCUUUUUUAGCUCUUAAAUGUUUAACAUUCAAAGUCACUGUUUGAUGAAGAAACUUCAAGCAUCGAUUGAGAUGCUUCAGACACACUUACUGUAAAAUAUGUCAUUGGCCAUCUGUGGGCUUUAUCAACCUUAUCCACUAGAUAAUGGUGCUGUAAAACUAUUAAAUAUGAUUUUAAAUACUAUUUAUUUUUUCUGAGUUACUGUUGUGUGUACAGUGUUUCUACAGCAUGGUAUUGUAAGAAAAACUGAAUAAAGCCACUUUUCAGUAAAUUAUUUCUCUUAGA